UACGUAGGGGGGCAAGCGUUUGUCCGGAAUCAUUGGGCGUAAAGCGCGCGUAGGCGGCCCGGUAAGUCCGCUGUGAAAGUCGGGGGCUCAACCCUCGGAUGCCGGUGGAUACUGUCGGGCUUGAGUGCGGAAGAGGCGAGUGGAAUUCCUGGUGUAGCGGUGAAAUGCGCAGAUAUCAGGAGGAACACCAAUUGCGAAGGCAGCUCGCUGGGACGUUACUGACGCUGAUGCGCGAAAGCGUGGGGAGCAAACAGG
rnacentral:rRNA from 1 species